rnacentral:lncRNA from 12 species
CUUUCCACCUCUAGUCUUGCACAAUCAUGUUAAACAACUGAUAAAUAUAGACACCCCAAAUUUUUUCUGUAAUUUUUUUUUUUUUUUAGUCUUUUUUUUCAAUUUUCACUUAUUUAUGAUAGAGAGAGAGAGAGGCAGAGACAUAGGCAGAGGGAUAAGCAGGCUCCAUGCACCGGGAUGCCCGAUGUGGGAUUCGAUCCCGGGUCUCCAGGAUCGCGCCCUGGGCCAAAGGCAGGCGCCAAACCGCUGCGCCACCCAGGGAUCCCUGUAAUUUUUUUGAUAUGUGCCAUAUAUGUCUAUGAUAACGCAUCUACUUAUUCUUUUUUUAAUUUUUAUUUGAAAGAUGCAAGCAAAAUUUGUACAUUCUCUUUCACAUUGUUACCAGUGACUAGUUGACCUAACUUCACAAAGCAAUGAGCCUAUUUCCCCACAUUUUUCUUGAAUCGAACACAACUCCCUUAGCAUUUAUUUUUUGAUAGAACUGAUGUUUUUUGGAGUUAGACGUCUACACUCCCUUCAUCAUCCCUUAAAAAUUCUCUUUUAAAUUAUUACACUAAAUCCUCAGGUGUUAUAAUCCCAUAUACUUUGUUGAUCUUGUUUAUGUUUUAUUUCAUCUUUGUCAUUGAAAGAAAUUCUUAAGCCAGGAAUGGGUAAAUUAAUUAAGGGAAAGAGGCAUGAUUUCAUAGGCCUGUGUGGAGAAAAUGAAGUCCAAUAACAAAGAAUUAUUCAGUUUAAUUAUUCAUUUUGCUUUGAGAAUAGUUAAUGAGCAUCUGGGAAAGUAUGAUACUCUUAAUUUAUGAUAAUGUCUGUUGUAAAUGCUACACUGUUUAUUGAAUAUUAAGGACAGAUAAAUGGAAGGUUGGAAAAAAUAUCUACAUGUGCAUUUUCCUAAUACACUGUACCUGCAACAUUUCCUUUCUGGAGCAUCAGAUUAUCUCAGGCGAGUGUAUUUAGUUGGCAGCAAACCAAGAAAUCACUCUGCUGAUUUUAUUCUCUUGUAGAACCGUAUUCAGGUUUGUUUUUUUCGGCUUCACAAUUCAAUUGCAGCAGUUGCAAAUUCUCCAAUACUCAUUAUGGCCAUGAAAAAUAGUAUGCCACAUUGUGAUUUUCACAUUUCUUCUAAAGGCAAGUACAUUCCUGAUUCAGACCCUAUGUCCUAGUGUGCGAAUUUUUAAUCUCUGCUUUCACAAUUUUAGUUUUAGGUAAACUUUGUUGGAUGGAAUUGUAUAAUUUUUCAUAGCAUAUAUUUGAAACACAUAAAGAAAGGAUAGAUUAUCAUUAAAUUACAAUAGGAAAAUAAGAAAACAUACCAAGGUGAUUUUAGAUUCUCUUGAGUUUCUUUGAAAAAGGAGACCUCAAUUCCACUAACUGUUCUUAGUGAUAUUACAUGUUGUCUCUCUGCUCUUAAUAAGGGCUUGCAGCCAUUAGCUGAAGACUUGCCUGACAGAUUAUAAAUGACUUUGUUGAGGUAGUUUUGCUAUCUUGAAAUAUUUUCUUAAAAUUCUACAUUUGAAUGAAAAAAUACAUUUAUUUAUUUAUUUAUUUAUUUAUUUAUUUAUUUAUUUAUUAUUUUAUUUAUUUAUCCAUGAGAGACACAGAGAGGCAGAGACAUAGACAAAGGGAGAAGCAGUCUCCCUGUGGGGAGCCUGAUGCGGGACUCAAUUCUAGGACCCCAGGAUCAUGACCUGAGCCAAAGGCUCAACCACUGAGCCACUCAGGUGUCCCGAAAAAUAUGCCUUUUAGAAAUGUAAACCAGAAUGUGACUUCUGUCAAGAAUUGAAGGCCAUCUUGCUUUCUAUUACAUAGCAAAUUAAUGUGCUCUAGAAUACAGGUCACUCCAUGAAAAGUGUGGGCAUAUAAAACAUAUACAUUUUAGUAAAGUUAUGCUACUUUCAUUAUCACACUGAUUUUAUAGCAUUGUAAUGACGUAGAUCAUUUUGAAUGCAAAAAGUCAAACUGAAUAUUAAAACUUAAGUGCACCCCAAAGAAAAGAUAUACACCAACUUCGUUUUAAAAGAAACAGUAUUAAGAAAUUAUAUGCUGAGUUCUCCUACAGUCUGUGAAGAUGGUUUCCUCCAUUUCCACAGCACAAGACGACAGCAAAGAGCAUCUGGAAAACACUUGCAAUGCCUGGGAAUGGAGCGUUCGUAGUAAUAGGAGAUGAAGUGAUAUAAGCACUAUUUAAACUUUUGGAACCAAAGACAAGACAAUCUUUCCUUGCCAAUAUAGUUUUCACCUUUAUUGGCACUAAAACCUGUCCAUGGGAUCUCCUACCCAGACUGAAGUACUGGGUAAUAGUUGGAUCAUUUCAGUUGAGUAGAGAAUGCUCAAUUUAAUCACAGGUCCAAGCAACAGAGUCCUUUAGCUAUGGAAUCACAUCUGAAAUAUUUGCAUUCUUUAUUAAUAAAAAUGGUGCUUAUGGAGGGCA